rnacentral:lncRNA from 1 species
CGGAAAACUUAUUCAUUCUAAAUAAUACCCCAAAAUCCGUUUGUCACGUGUACAAGUCACUAAUGAAAAUACAUAAUUCAAACAUAAAUACAAGUCUCAUUCUUUGUUUUUCAAGUAGAACAAAGAAAAUGAAAAGAGGGUUUGCCAGGAUGACAAACAACUACCUCUCAAAACCCCCAACGAGCCACGACUGUUAGGAGAAGAAGAAGAAGAAUCACGUGGGUCCCGACUCGGAACCUACACAAGUGUAGCAGCAAGGGGUGAGUAGAAACUAAUGGUACCCAACGAGCAACCUAAUAAACAAGGCAUCUGUUUUAUUAUAAAAAUAAUUUUAGACUAGUUUAGAGUCACCACUUAAUCUUUAAAAGAAAAUUAAGAAAACUAUUGUUUUCAAAAGACUAAAACAGAAAAUCUAAUGAAAACUUAAAAGGGGUUCGGGGUUCUUAUUAGUGUUUUAGGAAGGGUUUAAAGCAUCUAGAACACCCGCUAAUGCAGUUAUCCAACAAUUAAUCAUUUGGCUAAAAGUAAAUUUACUUAAUUUGAAUUGAGCAAUUUUUAUAGUUAGAACCAUUUUAAAGAGAUAAAGGGGGAAAUAUGAAAAUACUAUCUAAGUGAGAUAUUUUACAAAAUUAUUCUUUAAGUCUUAUUAAAGAUGACUGAUUUAGUUAAAUUGUUAAAUCAAAAUGGGUGUCUUUCCAUGAUUUGAAUAUUGAAACCUUAAGAUUAUUUUACAGAUGUUGGCAAGUAAACAAGCACAAUAAAACAAAGAGGGCAAGAAACUUGGGCCCAAAUCUGGUUAUCAUGUCCGCCUGGCUAGUACUUGGGUCCAUUUUCGUUUUGGGCCUUUGGCCCCUUUGAACCACAUGCACCUGUCCUAAACUAACAUAAAAUAAAUAUUUUUCUUUUGGGCUUUAGGCCCACUUUUUUCACCUGUCCUAAGAACUAACAAAAUAAUAACAAUUAAAUGACAAGGGCUUAGACCCAAAAUAACAAAAUACAAUUUCUUUUUAUAUAAAGAGUGGGCCAAAGGCCCAAUCUUUUCAAUUCUCCUCUGUUUCGAAUUCUUCCAACCCCGAGACCUGUUCAUCAAUUUUUAGCUGGCCAACUCGAUAAAUGAAGGAAUUUGAGCCUUUAUGGCUCUCUAAAAAAUGCAAGGGAAAGGAACGAGUUCGUGGUGAACUCAGACGGAUUUCACAUGCAUAAAAAGUGUAAAUAUUGUAAGAACCAAUUCUAAAUCAUGACUACUUAUUGCUCACAUUAUCAUGCAAAUUAAUCAUAUCAUAAUGAAAAUUAUCCCUUUUGAUAGACUAGACAAUAACUAAUGAGCAAACGAAUAUUAAAUCAAUGUUGAUUUCGUUCAAGAAUUGAAUAAGAGGAAUAAACAAAGUCAGGUAAAAAGCUAAAACAUCAUUUAAGCAAACAAGAGUCAACCUACGGUAAGUUUGAGGCUAAGAAUCAAAUUUCCAAGAGAGAAUCUAUGAAUCAAAUGAUUAAAGAGAUGCCAUACUGGAACUAAUAAAGAUUGCUAUUUAUUACCGAAAUUAAGACUGAAUAUUGGCUUUUUCCAAAAAAAACAAUGGACCAAAAUAAAGACCCUACUGCAUGUGACUAAACUAAUGGCAAUUAAUUUUAUGCUAAAGAAAACAACAAAAUAAAUAAAUAACUAAAGAUCAGGCAUGCUAUGCACGCAACAGUCAAUGCCCAUGAAUUCAUAUCCAAAUGACUUUAAAGACACGAUCUAAACUUAAAUAAAACUAAGACAUGGAAGAUGAAACAAAAAUCCAGGCUUUAUACUGACCCAACUUAUAAGCAGCAAACCAUUUGAAUAUCAAUUAUUUAGCCAGAGAGGGUAGAAAUAAAAGAGAAGUUAUUCUAGGCAGCGCGAAAACAAACGACUUAGAUACAUACAUUAACAUCAGUUUAACAUGCUUCACAGUAAAAAAAAAUAAAAAAAAUGCCAAUAGCAGCCCCAAAGAAAGAACAGAUCAGGCUAACACGAAGUGAACUCUUAAGCAAACUGGAACAAUCAGUUUGCCUACUCAAAUUUUCUCGCUUUAAACAAAUCGAACUCACCACAUGUAACUAGACAUGACAACUAAUGAAGAAUAAGCAACUAACGAGUUGAUAAUAAUACCUAGCCUUGAAUGCAAAGAAGCAAACAUUAUAAGACAAAAGUAAGAAAAUAAACUAUGCGAUUACAAAAUCUACUAAGCUAAAACAAAUGAAGGCCCCACAUAUUAAACCGACCGGACAAGCGGGCUAUAUUUAGAACUUCAAAAACUUACAACCAACAUUGCGAGAAAAAAAAGAUAUAAGAAGACGUUAGCAAGGAGGAAAGGGACUCGAAACAGAGAGCAACCAUCGAACUUUCAAAGAAAGGGAAAAUAAACAGCAACAUUCGAGUAACCGAACAAAUUCCAUCACUAACUUCACAAUCGAUGUUAUAUCGAAACGAUAUGAAAAUUCCGACAUUUGAAAGACUCGCAAUAACUAAGAAGUAAACUGCCAACAUAUUAAGAAAAUAGGGAGGUUAAACUGAAAUGAGGUUUACCUUUCACGGGGCAGCAAGCUGAGCAAAACAAGCUAGAAUGAGGCUUCCAACACAAGCUCUGACUUGAGCGACAAUCAAUAAAUUCGAGUAGAAUGUCGGGUCCAAGAAAAAACUAAAACUGAUUAUCUCCUCUCUUUUUCUUAAGGUGUAUUUUGAUGUAUUUUACUAUUUUUUUUUUGCUUAAACUAUUUUGUAUAUUUUGCUCAAAAAAUCCAACCCUUAACCAUGGAGGAAGAGGCAAUAUAUAUAGAAGGAAAAUUAAGGUUUUCGAUUUGGGGGGAAAACUCAAAAAAAUCGGGUAUGAACCAGGCCCACCUCGAAUUUGAACUCCAAACUUUUCCCCAAAUUUUCCAAAGAUCAGGAAAAGACUGCUGUUGUACGAGAAAAACCAAAAUUUCAGCAAGCCCAAAAGUUGAAAGAGACGCAGACGGCUUUGAUCGAUCUCUCAUCCUUCAGUAUCGACGCGGCGUCAUCUCGCACUUGCAAGGACAAAUUCACAGGCUUUUGAGCGGCGCUGCUAUACGGAAGAAGUGGAUGAGAAAAGCUGUUUGUUUUGCCGUGUAAUCUUCGUGUAUCACCAUGAAUUUCUCUUCACAUUGUAUUCGUUGUUGUUGUCGCCUCGUGAGACGCCGUGUAUUUUGACGCGUUUGGACUGCUAUUGACAACGCAUGAGGGAGAAGGAGACGUGUGCGAGGGUCUGGGGUUGGGUUGCACGCGUUGUUACUGUUAAGCGUGAAGAACGUUGUUGUUAACGUUGGGAAGCUGGGUUUCUUUAGAAUUGGAAAUGGGUUGGGUCGGUGCU